rnacentral:rRNA from 1 species
UGGGGAAUCUUGGACAAUGGGCGCAAGCCUGAUCCAGCCAUGCCGCGUGAGCGAAGAAGGCCUUAGGGUUGUAAAGCUCUUUUGCCAGGGACGAUAAUGACGGUACCUGGAGAAUAAGCCCCGGCAAACUUCGUGCCAGCAGCCGCGGUAAUACGAAGGGGGCUAGCGUUGUUCGGAUUUACUGGGCGUAAAGCGCACGUAGGCGGGUCGUUAAGUCAGGGGUGAAAUCCCGGAGCUCAACUCCGGAACUGCCUUUGAUACUGGCGACCUUGAGGCUGGAAGAGGUUAGUGGAAUUCCCAGUGUAAAGGUGAAAUUCGUAGAUAUUGAGAAGAACACCAGUGGCGAAGGCGGCUAACUGGUCCAGAUCUGACGCUGAGGUGCGAAAGCGUGGGGAGCAAACA